GACGAACGCUGGCGGCGUGCCUAAUACAUGCAAGUCGAACGCUGAAGAGAGGAGCUUGCUCUUCUUGGAUGAGUUGCGAACGGGUGAGUAACGCGUAGGUAACCUGCCUUGUAGCGGGGGAUAACUAUUGGAAACGAUAGCUAAUACCGCAUAACAAUGGAUGACACAUGUCAUUUAUUUGAAAGGGGCAAUUGCUCCACUACAAGAUGGACCUGCGUUGUAUUAGCUAGUAGGUGAGGUAAUGGCUCACCUAGGCGACGAUACAUAGCCGACCUGAGAGGGGGAUCGGCCACACUGGGACUGAGACACGGCCCAGACUCCUACGGGAGGCAGCAGUAGGGAAUCUUCGGCAAUGGGGGCAACCCUGACCGAGCAACGCCGCGUGAGUGAAGAAGGUUUUCGGAUCGUAAAGCUCUGUUGUAAGUCAAGAACGGGUGUGAGAGUGGAAAGUUCACACUGUGACGGUAGCUUACCAGAAAGGGACGGCUAACUACGUG
rnacentral:rRNA from 1 species